rnacentral:sRNA from 1 species
UCACCUCCACACUUACACACAUCCUCAGCAGAGAGCCUGAGGAUAGAUGAAAUUCCAAGACAUGAGCAUUUCAAGAAUUUUAAAGCACUCGUAUAGGAAAUACAGGAAGGUCAUGCUUACAUGAAAGUCCCUGCAGCACUGAUUUGUUUUUUCAAGACAAACCUGCAUCAGUGAAUGAAAACCAUGAGAUAUACAUGAAGGAUUCUAUGUCUGCUGCAGAGGUUGGUACUGGCCAGUACGCCACAACAAAAGGCAUCUCUCAGACCAACUUGAUCACCACUGUGACUCCGGAGAAGAAGGCUGAGGAGGAGCGGGACGAGGAAGAGGACAAACGGAGGAAGGGGGAAGAAGUCACGCCCAUCUCGGCCAUCCGGCACGAGGGAAAGACUGACAGUGAGCGCACGGACACCGCAGCCGACGGGGAGACCACCGCCACUGAGGAGCUAGAAAAAACUCAAGAUGACCUGAUGAAACAUCAAACCAACAUUAGCGAGCUGAAAAGAACCUUCUUAGAAACCUCAACAGACACUGCCAUAACGAAUGAAUGGGAGAAGAGGCUUU